AACUCCCGUCCUUUGAUUAUCUCACAUAUUCAAUUAAGAAUUCCAAAGAUCUCUUUAUUUUUCUUCUCAAAACCAUCAUCCAUUGCCGUAUCACUUGCAUCUGAAUCAAAUCAGAGACUCACAAUUUUCUCUUCCCCUAAUUUUUGCUUUUUUUUCUUCGGUGUUUGAUUUUUGCUUGAUUCCAUUGGCGUUGUUCAUGAGGUUCGAUUGUAUGGUUAGGGUUCAGCGAUGGUUGACGGUGUUCUACGAACAGCAUGGGGUGGGGUUCCGGCGAGUCUAACUGGACCCGAUGGCUAUGGAUUCCGGAAAAAGAUUGGUACAAUGACACCCAUGGAUCAGGUUCUUUGGAUAACUCAUUAGCUAGAGGCUUCACUCAUGGGUACAUCACCACUGUUUUGUCUUUUGUUUAUGAAUCCAUCUAUAUGUUCAGCUUAUGUUAUGUGUCUUGGCCAUGGUUUAGAAAGGGUGUGUGUUGAUUAAGGUUGUAAAGAUUGAGAUGAUGUCUGAGUCAAUUGAUGAAACCCUAGACAAAGAUGAGGCUGUAGAGGAAACAAAGGAGCUUACCAGGUGCUUGAUGAGAUUGGUGUAGGCAUCGGUUCACAGCUAUCUUCUGCACCAAAAGGUCGACUCGGACCCAAGAAGGUUGACAAUACUGUCUCCAGCCUAUUCGACUCGGACCCAGAAACGGGGACGACGAUGACGAUGUGCACUCAGGUAGACAAGCUCAGGGGGGAAAGGGAAGCGCUCCUGUGAUGAUCUGGUUCAGAAUCCCAGCUCUGCAUCAGCAACUGCUGGAACCACUUGUUUGCUUGGUUCCGAAGCUGAAUGGGAAGGUUACGCUCGAUCGUUUGACUAUCAUGAAGGUAGAAAAGCUCAAGUGAAAGGGAAGCGCCCUCGUGAGGAUCUUGGUACGUUUGACUGUGAUGAAGGUAGAAAGGCUCAAGUGAAACGAAACCGGCUCCCGACCCUAGAAGGUUUGCAGAGAAGAAACAUACGAUGCGGGGAACUUAGGAAGAUGUGGAUCAUCUCUUGGUGUCAUGCCUUGGUGAUAAGACAAAAAGUGUGUAAUUGGUGGUGCAAAUUGCGGACAUUAGAGGCCUAUUCAAAUUGUAUACAAAUGAAGCAGAAAAGAAAGAUGCUGCAGCUGGGACUUUGGGUAACUUGCAGUGCGCCCGACCCAUUUGACCUAAUUCUGUUCUAGCUACUUUUUUAAUUAAACAUGUUUGAGGAGUGUACCACCGUACGACUGGAUCAACAAACAGAACUCAAACCAGCAUUGGCUAAGGAAAGAACGAGAAAAAAUAUACUUUCCGGAUGGUGGUACUAUGCUCCCCAAUGGCGUUAGCGCGUAUGUUGAUUUAGUGCAAAAUCUCUUCCCGGUGAUGAAAGAUGAACUGUUCGUACAUUGUCGUAAAUUGACCAAUACUUUUAGUUCAUAUUGGUACCCAUGUUCAGUAUGGGAUUGUCUCUCUGGGUAAUCUUUCCGCAUUAAAAUCAUGUUUAACUUUUAUUUAUAUUUAUUAUGUCGUGAACAUAUUGGAUAUUAAAUCUUUGGGUUAUAUGUAUAAGAAGCUCUAUAGACGGAAAACAAUACUAAUAGUGUUGGAACAUUCAACCCAGAUCAUAUCAAUUUGUUAUAUGGAAAAUAGUAAGUUUGACCAGUAAA